rnacentral:rRNA from 1 species
ACGCUCGACACCUACGGGAGGCGAGCGAGUUGGGAAUAUUGGACAAUGGAGGAAACUCUGAUCCAGUGACGCCGCGUGAAGGAAGAAGGUCUUCGGAUUGUAAACUUAUUUUGUCAGGGAAGAAAAAAUGACUGUACCUGAAGAAAAAGCACCGGCUAACUACGUGCCAACAGCCGCGGUAAUCUGAGCGGGCUGGCAAGGC